rfam:Ixodes scapularis strain Wikel colony gcontig_1107728736188, whole genome shotgun sequence.
GGUCUCAUGGUGUCGUGCUUAUCACUCUGGACUCUGACUCCAGCGAUCCGAGUUCAAAUCUCGGUGAGACCU